CGCUAAGAAGCUAAACCGGACACAGCGUUAGCCUUUUAAGCUAAAGAUUGGUGACUACCGCCCACCCUUAGCGA
rnacentral:tRNA from 3 species